CCAUACAAGGAGGGGAUUUUGUGUCCUUUGUUAUCACAAGGGGUAUUUUUGGCCCUAAAGUAUAACCAAGAACAAUGUUAGCUAAAUAGUUGAAAGUAGAGAACAUAUUUGACCCUUCAACCUAAAAAACACAGUGUAGGUAUAUUUCUCAAAAAUCCCAACAGUGAUUAAGACCAUCAAGUUCAUUAGGAGAGAUUGUAGAAACAGACACAAGAAAACUACCCACAAACAACUAGCACACUGCUCCAGUUAGGCUGGGCCAUAACUGUACCCAAUAACACCAAGGCAUAAAGAGCCUCAACACACAAUACUGCAAAUGCAAUGAAUUCUGUAAGGACAUUUCUGUUACUUGGUCCAACAUGUACCAUCGACACCAACUUCUCCUUAAGUUGCAACACAAGACUGCACGACAUUAGUUAUUGAGGAAAAUAUGAAGCCGCUCGAGUUGCAAACAUAUAAAGGAAUCAAGAUGACUAUAAUAAAUGAAAUGUGAUUUUUCCUCUUCAAGAGGGAAUUUGUGUUCUCAGCCAAGUUCAUUUUGCUGACGACCAGUCCCUACUGCUUUCCCUUCUCCUUAACUUGAUUGCGAAGUUAUGUCAACACCCGGGCAAUGACCAAAAGAUGCUAGGAAAAACCUCCACAAAAUCAAGUAGAGAUGACUAUCAAAAGCCACACAGUAUCGUUCCCAUUAAAACGUGUAGCUGCUAUUUAUUCAACACUGAAUUUUGACUUCUGCAACAUUUGCAUGGUCUUUCAAGCACCAUGGCACGCAUUUCAUAGCCUCAACAUUCUAGAAAAACAGACCACCAACAUCUUCAAGUAGCUAUACAACUUAUAUCAAUCUCCCUAGUCUGGACUUGUUACACAGAUCUAUUUCCUUCAAACCUGUACUUCCACCACUUCCCUGCUAGUAGAUGAGCUUCCAGGCUUGUGAUCCUAAUGUACCUGCCUAAAAACCCGCGAGAAAAUUCUUUAGGGAAAAACAUGAACUUGCGCAGUUACAAAGCCUUUACUCUUCUAUUUCCAGACUCUUCUGACUGGCACUUGCAACCAGGCUCACCUCCUUUCUUGUCUGAAACAAGUCAAGGGAGUGGGUGGCGAGUAUGGUAAAAAAACAUAAAUAAGUUUGGAAGCACAACCAGGGUCUUCACCACUAAUGACACCCCUCCAUCCAUAAUAAAUAUCCUUACAAGACAGAGAAGAGCCGAAACAAGUGAAAUUGCAGGACUUAAUAUGACUAUUAAAAUUGAACAAAAUAAAUAAGAUGUCAAGACUUCUCGCAGUUACAAAGAUUCAAGGACAAAAGAGUUUAUACGUGAUAAGGGUGUGAUAAGGGUGUCGAAAUGAACCCAAAUUGAGCUGACCCGCCCAACAUUUAAUGGGUUGGGUUCAAGAUAAUUAGUAAAUCUCAACCCGUUCUUCCAACCCAUUUUUAAAUUAGGUUCAAAUGAGCCCAAUUCAAUCUCCACUUCAACCCGUUUAAUAUAAAAAUGAUUUUCUUAAUGGAAGUAAGAAAAACAAGUGACAAUGUGCCCUCCCACUCUCAAAAUCACCCACCUCACCUCACCCCAACC
rnacentral:lncRNA from 1 species